GCGCAGAGAGAUGGCCGCCACAAAGUAACCGCGUCCUGGCUCAGCCCCUGCCUCCUCGCUCCCUUUCUUACCCUGGAGAAGGCCAGUAGGAAAUCCAUGCGGUGGGUGGGCCCCAGACAGUGCCGCAGUCGCCAGUACACAAGGUGUUCCCAGGCGAAGACCAGCAAGGAGAGGCCCAUGGCCACGAGGAGCAUGUAGAAGACACCUGCCAUGUUGUCGAUAUCCAGCUUGCUGCUCAUCACCUCGAUUUUGUCGUUGUGGCAGAUCCCUGAAAGCCACAGCCGCUCCAGCAUCUCAAUCUCAUCUGAGGAUGAGGUCAGAGUCACUUAUUAGGAGCACGCUCUCCUCAGAUACAGAAUCCAGGCCCCAGACCCUUCCAAUCUUGAAAACCCUCCUCCCCAGGACCGAGGGCCAGCCCUCCCCUCUUCCAGAGUAGGACUUCAUGCCCAGCCUAGCCGCACCGUCCCCCAGGAACUGCAGCAGCGCCAGGUCGAUGGGCCUCUUCCAGCGGGAGCCCUUGUGUAGGGCGAUGCCAUAACCAGUGGUGGCGAAGACCUUGCCUGAGCCGAUGGUGACCAGCUUGCAGCCCUCAUCCUUUCGGGCCAUGUAGUUGAGCACUGCUGCGUCAUAGAUGAAGGCGUCCAGUUUCCUGAGGACAGGGGCAUGAAAGACAGGGUCAGUC
rnacentral:lncRNA from 1 species